GCAGCCAACAGCCCUCCCACCCACCCUGCAAGAGUGCCCCAGUGCACUGAGAAAGGCCACGCAGUAGGCAUCAACACUCUGGUGGGAGUCUGACCUCUGCUGUGUGACUCUGGACAGGGCCUGUGGCCUCUCGGAACUACAGCCCCACAGGUGAUUCUAAGGCCUGGUCAGAGACGUGUAUGGUCGAGCCAAGGUGAAUACGGAGGUGCAAACUGGCCGUGUGUGUAACGGGUUCUGCCCCUCCUCAGGUUGGUGCAUCUGGAUGCUUCUACAGCUGUGACCGUGAGAGAGGCAGAGCAUGAACGGCGGAGGGGCAGAGAGAGAGGAAGACACAGAAUCCAAAGCAGGCUCCAGGCUCCAAGCUGUCAGCAAGGAGCCCGAGGCAGGGCUUGAACUCACGGACCAUGAGAUCAUGACCUGAGCCGAAGUCGGAAGCUCAACCAACUGAGCCACCCAGGCGCCCCUUUCUAUCCUAUUCUAAAUGUUUAUUUCUUGGAGAGAGAGCAUGAGCUUGAGAGAGGGAGACAAAGGAUCUGAAGCAGGCUCCUCACUGCUAGCACAGAACCCUACAUGGGGCUCAAACCCAUGAACCAGGAGAUUAUGACCCAAGCCGAAGCUGGAUGCCUAACUGACUGAGCCACCCAGGUGCUCCAAAAUUUUAUUUAAAAAAAAAAAAAAGUGCAAGAUCUCUUUAUAUAACUCUUAUAAAAAGAAAAGAAAAGAAAAAAUUCCCCACGAUUCUGAUGAACAGCUGGGGUGGAAAACACUGGUCUAAGACAUCAAACGACAGUACAAAGAACAGGUAUUAGAACUGUGUUCAAAUCACUUGCUGGAUGUGUGAUUACUCUGCCUGUGUGCCUCAGUUUCUCCAUCAGUGAAAUGGGUUGUUGUAAGAGUAGGGCAGAACCGUGCUGCAUGCUCCCAGCAGUUUGCAUUUCCCUUUGGGCACACAGCGAAGCCUGUGUUUCCAGCUUCCCUCACGGGCAGGUGGGCUCAUGUGAUGGGGUGCUGGCUAAUGAACUAUGGGUGGAAGUGACAUUCACCACGCCUCCACCAGGCCUGGCCCCGCAACCUCCCGCAGAGGAUCCAGUGGAGGCUGGUGGCAGCAAAGCCACGAGGCAGAGGAGGCCAGGCCCUGGACAAUGGCAUGUGCCCUGUUCCCCAGCAGCACUGGACUCUGACAUGAGAGAGAAAUAGACCUUUGUGCGUAAGUCCCUGAAAUCUGGGGUUGUUUGUUCCGGUGCUUGGCUCACCCUGACUAAACAGAGGUCUCAAUGAGGUGUACAUAUCUA